UACGUAGGGAGCGAGCGUUAUCCGGAUUUACUGGGUGUAAAACGCGUGUAGGUGGUGAUAUAAGUCAGGUGUCAAAUUUUUCGGCUCAACCGAAUUCCGCACUUGAUACUGUAUUGCUAGAGGAUUGGAGAGGAAAGCGGAACUCAUAGUGUAGCGGUGAAAUGCGUAGAUAUUAUGAGGAACACCCGUGGUGAAGACGGCUUUCUGGACAAUUUCUGACACUGAGACGCGAAAGCGUGGGGAGC
rnacentral:rRNA from 1 species